rnacentral:SRP_RNA from 1 species
CCGUGCUAGACGGGGAGUUGGCGGUGCCCUGUUACCCGCAAUCCGCCAUAGCGGGGUUGAAUGCCUGUUUGAGGUUUGAGCCUGUAGGGUCUGCCUUGUAAAAGGUGUGUUGACAAUUGGGUCCUGCGCAAUGGACAUCUAUGAAAUUGGUCAGAUCCGGAAGGAAGCAGCCAUAAGUAGAUACCUCCAUGUGCCGUAGGGUUGCCUAGUUCGAGCAUUCUUUUACAAGUAACGCUUGGUUGUUCCUAUCGAGAACAGGCGCACG